rnacentral:lncRNA from 1 species
AUCAAAAGGGUAGAUAGCUUUGCAGUGUCCAAUAGCAGGCAAGGGAUCAUCAUCCUCAAAUUCAUCAUCAAACUCAUUGUGGUGACCAUGCUGCUGGGGUGGCCCACGGACUUCCUGGUUUGCAUCAUCAGUGUAACUUCCCUCAGGACUUUCUCGUCCCUGUGUUACAAGAUGAUUUAUGUCACUGCUAUGUCUUCUGUCUCCUCU